rnacentral:lncRNA from 1 species
GCAGUGAAUAAGGUUAUUUUAAAGUUUGCUUAAAUCAGUAGAGGUGCUCAGUCGGUAAGUUGGGUUUAAUAAUCAAAUUGAAUUAAUCCAAGUCAUAAAAACAAAUUUAUUUUGGAUGAAAUUAUUCCAAUUUGGUUAGUUUGGUCAAAAACUGAUAAUUUUAUGAAUCCAAUCAAAAUACCAGACAUAAACCUUCAUAUAUCUAAUCAAAAAAGCAUAAAAUCUUAACCUAAUAAAUAACCAAAAAGGCAUUCAAAUGUCAUAUUUUAGUUAUUUUAGCAAUUACUUUCAUUAACCAAACUGAUUUUUUAUCAUUAAUUAAUUAACCGAACCGAAGUAAAUUUCUACCGAUUAAUUCAAUUAAAACCGAAUAAUGAACACCUCUUCAAAGGAGAAUUUAUAGAUGGAAAGAGCCACCGCAGCCACCACCGCAGACGGCGGGCGGCAGGUGAUCUCUAUCAUCUAUAUUUAUUGUAAUAGACGAUAAAGACAUGAACAUAGUACAUUGUAAGAAAAAGGAUUGGUAGUUAAGGAACAAAGAUGGUGUCAAUGGUGAUGGUUUGGUGUGUUUUCAUACAGAGAGAGAGCUUGAAAGUUGGAACUGAAGACUCCAUAGCUCGAAACUUCCUUUAACGAAGUCAU